UUCCCUUAGUAGCUGCGAGCGAACAGGGAGAAGCCCAGCACUGAAUCCCGGAGGCCUCGCUUCCAGGGAAAUGUAGUGUUUGGGAGGGUUCAUAUACCCGAUACCGUCGCACUGCGUCCAAGUCCAUCUUGAAAGAGGCCACGGUCCCGAGAGGGUGCCAGGCCCGUGGUAGGCCAGUGCAGGUGUUGGGUGAACCUCUCCUCAGAGUCAGGUUGCUUGAGAGUGCAGCCCUAAGCGGGUGGUAAACUCCAUCUAAGGCUAAAUACAACCACGAGACCGAUAGCGAACAAGUACCGUGAGGGAAAGUUGAAAAGAACUUUGAAGAGAGAGUUCAAGAGUACGUGAAACCGCUCAGGGGUAAACGGAAAAGACCCGAAAUUUCCGAAGAGGGAGAUUCACGUCCUCUCGCCGGUUCGACGCAUCGCUCCUCUUUGACGGCCCUGCUCCCGCUCGGACUUGUCCGGCGCGUGGCGGUGGGGUUGCAGGGGGUGGUACGGAGGACGGCGGCGGACCGCACUUCUCCCUCAGUAGGACGUCGUGACCCGUCCGGCCAUGGUCUUACGGUCGCGGGGUGGAGCCUGUCCGUUGGUGCUUGCAUCUUCCGGGCAGACCCCCGUGUCCCGGCCAUGGGUCAACUCGGUCGGUAUCAAAUGACGGUGUAAGGCCGCUCAUCGGUGGAGGAAACUCCUACCCGUGAGCGCGAUUGUGGCCCUUGACAAGGUGCCGGGAUGUUUCAGUCAAGGCGGGCUUCCGUCCGUCUGGCUGCUCUCGGUCCUGUUGGUCUUGGUGCCCUCUCGCCGGUCACUCCUCGCGGAGUUCACCUGUCUACGGCGAAUCAUGAAAGUGAAGGGAACUUCACGUUUCUGAGGGAAGAUGAGUCGGUCACCCGCAAGGGGCCACUCCGCACUCCCGGGGCGUCUCUAUCUCAUUGCGAGAGGAGGCGCACCCAGAGCSUACACGYYGANACCCRAAAGAUGGUGAACUAWGCCUGGCCAGGACGAAGCCAGGGGAAACCCUGGUGGAGGUCGCGCAGCGAUUCUGACGUGCAAAUCGAUCGUCGGAGCUGGGUUYAGGGGCGAAAGACCAAUCGAACCAUCUAGUAGCUGGUUCCCUCCGAAGUUUCCCUCAGGAUAGCUUGCGCUCAUACGAAACGAGUCUCAUCCGGUAGAGCGAAUGAUUAGAGGCCUUGGGGUCGAAACGAUCUCAACCUAUUCUCAAACUCCAAAUAGAUGAGAACUCCGGCUUUCUUGAAUGAAAAUUUUUGAAGCCGGGGGCUUGGAUCAGAGUGCCAAGUGGGCCAAUUUUGGUAAGCAGAACUGGCGCUGUGGGAUGAACCAAACGCCGAGUUAAGGCGCCUCAAUCGACGCUCAUGUGAAACCAUGAAAGGCGUUGGUUGCUUAAGACAGCAGGACGGUGGCCAUGGAAGUCGGAAUCCGCUAAGGAGUGUGUAACAACUCACCUGCCGAAGCAACUAGCCCUGAAAAUGGAUGGCGCUGUAGCGUCGUGCCUAUACUCGGCCGUCAACGGCAAAGAUGGUUGGACCUCGGUCCGACUGUUACGCCUUGACGAGUAGGAGGGCCGCGGCGACGUGCGUAGAAGGGUCUGGGCGUGAGCCUGCCUGGAGCCGUCGUCGGUGCAGAUCUUGGUGGUAGUAGCAAAUACUCCAGCGAGGCCCUGGAGGACUGAUGUGGAGAAGGGUUUCUUGUGAACAGCUGUUGCACAAGAGUCAGUCGGUCCUAAGCCCUAGGAGAAAUCCGAAGCGAUGGGUUGCCGU
rnacentral:rRNA from 1 species